rnacentral:rRNA from 1 species
UACGAAGGGGGCUAGCGUUGCUCGGAAUCACUGGGCGUAAAGCGCACGUAGGCGGAUCUUUAAGUCAGGGGUGAAAUCCCAAGGCUCAACCUUGGAACUGCCUUUGAUACUGGGGAUCUCGAGUCCGGAAGAGGUUGGUGGAACUGCGAGUGUAGAGGUGAAAUUCGUAGAUAUUCGCAAGAACACCAGUGGCGAAGGCGGCUCUCUGGGACGGUACUGACGCUGAGACGCGAAAGCGUGGGGAGCGAACAGG